AGGCCUGUACAUUACUCUACUUGCUCACCAAAAGCCACGGAGUUGUUUUCUUUUUGCGUCGUCUAACUGUGUGUACAUAGACUGCCACUCCACGCGACCUGGUAGGUCACUUAUCCCUGUGUUGACCCAGAUUUCUAGACUCAGUAUAAUGGCGGACUAUAUUAUCAGAGAUGCCCGAGUUGAAGAUUGUGGCGAGAUAUUCCUAAUGUUAAAGGAACUCCAAGAACAUCUCAAGUUCCUGGACCACAUGACGCUGGAGGAGGAGGCUGUGAAGAACGAUGGCUUCGGUGAAGACAAAUUCUUUCAAUGUAUCGUGGCCGAAGAGAAACCGUCGGGAGAAGCUGAGCCAGCACUGGUAGGGUACUUGUUGUACUGCUGGUCGUACACCACCUCCGCAGGCCGAAUGAUGGUUGUACAGGAUUUUUAUGUUCGUCAAACCUACAGGUCGCAAGGGACGGGCUCGGCACUGUGGGCCCAUGCCACCAAGGUUGCCCUAGAGAAGGGAUGCAGGAAAGUAGAGUGGAUAGUCCACGAUUGGAACGUAAAGGCAAUAAAGUUCUACAAGAAGUUGGGAGGUGUGGAUAUGUCUAAGGGCGAAGGUUGGCUGGUGUACAGGCUUGAUGUUAAUGCCAUGAGAUCUGUAGUAGCCACAGACACAGUAAACAAACAGUAACGUGCAGACAGAACACCCCCUUCAGGAAUUCCGUGUUCAGUCAUGUGUGGAGUGACGAAUGUACCUUACACACAUCGUUCACAGUGUGUUGAACAGGUUCAUGUGUGGUGUUACUCUUCGUAUAGACGUGUUGGGGGAGCACAUUAGACAGUACAUCAGUAAGCGUUAAAUUAAUGCAACAAUGAUUUGUAAAUAUAUGUAGAGGCUGGAUAUUUUGCCCCAGUUCUGAAUACCUGGCUUUUUACAAAUUGUAAAAUAGGGGGCUCAAGGUACGGAUUCUAUGGAUUCCACAGUAACAGCUUUUAGCCAAUCACCUGGGGCCAUGUGGUCACAUGACAAGGACAUGUUUACAUCCGGUGCAGCCAUUUUGUAAUGCAACCGGAAGAGUGCUGAAGAGUGCUGAGGAUAGCUGAACAUAACCAAAAGAUAAGAUGUGCAUCCCAGUGCAGAGGUCAAGAGUCGCCAGUGGGUGGGUUUGCCACUAAAUACUUUCAGAUUGUACCAGGGUGCAUUGAUUGAGCACAUGGUUUAGAAACAAAGACAAUGAUACUGCCACGUUUGAAGUUAGAGUGAAAUGGCAACAGAAUUUUGUUGUAAACAGCAACAACAAUUUGAAAUAAGUGGAACUUUGAAUUCAGCAGAUGUACUUUCAAACACAAAGUUUACUUUGUUGAAGUUGAUGUAAAACAAGACAAUAGAUAAAUCCCAUUUAUUCUUGCCAUUGUGUGCACUUUUGGACAGACGCAGAUGAGUGACAUUUGUCAGUUUGGCACAGCAAGAAUGGCUGACCACAGUGACCAAACACUUGUUAAUGAAAUCACAAGUCUUACUCAUGCUAACGAAAUACAUAUGCAUUGGAAUUACCUACAAUUGCAUUCUAUAGGCCUAGUUGCAGUCUGGGUGAACUGGUGCUCUUACCUAAAACAAAAUCCACAUACAAGGAUGGAGAUGUAAUGCCAAGGCAGAGCAUACAGAAAUUGGCUGCUGAAACAUUUAGAGGUUCCAUGGUGGCCCUGGCCCAUGUCAUGUGACCAUAUACCCCCAUGCUAUUGGCUAAAAGCUGUUGCUAUGGAACCUAUGAGAGCAGUAAAGUAGUCAAGGUGCGGGAUGGUCCAGUUACUCUGGACAGGGAACUGGGGAACAAUAUCCAGCCUUUACACUUAGAAGCAGAGUUCAUUAUACGACUAACCUACCUUCAUACUGAGGAUAGUAAAUUACUAUCAGUUCAAUUCAAUCCAAUUCAAUUCAAUUCAAUUUAGUGGUUUAUUGCUUGAAAGUCCACUGGCCCAUUUACACAUGAGCUACAUGGACAUGAAUAUCAAUACAACAACUGACGUAACAUGAAUGUAUGAUGACUGUAUAAAGAUACUUGCUAUUGAA
rnacentral:misc_RNA from 1 species